GACGAACGCUGGCGGCGUGCUUAACACAUGCAAGUCGAACGGAAAGGCCCUGCUUUUGUGGGGUGCUCGAGUGGCGAACGGGUGAGUAACACGUGAGUAACCUGCCCUUGACUUUGGGAUAACUUCAGGAAACUGGGGCUAAUACCGGAUAGGAGCUCCUGCUGCAUGGUGGGGGUUGGAAAGUUUCGGCGGUUGGGGAUGGACUCGCGGCUUAUCAGCUUGUUGGUGGGGUAGUGGCUUACCAAGGCUUUGACGGGUAGCCGGCCUGAGAGGGUGACCGGCCACAGUGGGACUGAGAUGCGGCCGAGACUCAUACGGGGGGCAGCAGUGGGGAAUAUUGCACAAUGGGCGGGAGCGUGAUGCAGCAGCGCCGCGUGCGGGAUGACGGCCUUCGGGUUGUAAACCGCUUUCGCCUGUGACGAAGCGUGUGUGACGGUAAUGGGUAAAGAAGCAGCGGAUAACUACG
rnacentral:rRNA from 1 species